rnacentral:rRNA from 1 species
GAUGAACGCUGGCGGCGUGCUUAACACAUGCAAGUCGAACGAAGCAUUUAGAACAGAUUAUUUCGGUAUGAAGUUCUUUAUGACUGAGUGGCGGACGGGUGAGUAACGCGUGGGUAACCUGCCUUGUACUGGGGGAUAGCAGCUGGAAACGGCUGGUAAUACCGCAUAAGCGCACGGUGCUGCAUGGCACAGUGUGAAAAACUCCGGGGGUAUAAGAUGGACCCGCGUCUGAUUAGCUAGUUGGUGAGAUAACAGCCCACCAAGGCGACGAUCAGUAGCCUACCUGGGAGGGUGACCGGCCACAUUGGGACUGAGACACGGCCCAGACUCCUACGGGAGGCAGCAGUGGGGAAUAUUGCACAAUGGAGGAAACUCUGAUGCAGCAACGCCGCGUGAGUGAAGAAGUAAUUCGUUAUGUAAAGCUCUAUCAGCAGGGAAGAUAGUGACGGUACCUGACUAAGAAGCUCCGGCUAAAUACGUGCCAGCCGCCGCCGUAA